GCUGGGCACCGUGGCGCACGCCUGUGAUCCCAGCAGCUCAGGAGGCUGAGACAGGAGGAUCGUGAGUUCAAAGCCAGCCUCAGCAAAAACGAGGCACUAAGCAACUCAGUGAGACCCUGUCUCUA
rnacentral:sRNA from 1 species